rnacentral:misc_RNA from 1 species
GGUGUAGUAACUUCUAUUUCAGUAUCAAAACGCCCUGACCUUCUUAGUGCAGGGUCAAUUGCAUCAACUCUGUUAGUUGAUGCAACCACAACAACGUGCGCUGAAGAUGUAGAUGAGUGUUUAUUGGCAUCCAUCAAAGUAAAUAGUUGAGAAGCUACACGAACAUCCUGCUCGCGUCUUGAAUCACGACGUGGACAUAGUGCAUCUAUUUCAUCUAUAAAAAUCACGGAUGGCUUGCCUAGCUGUGCAUGAGAUGCUGCCUCUGCAAAUGCCUCACGCAAACUUUUCUCACUUUCC